rnacentral:rRNA from 1 species
UGGGGAAUAUUGCGCAAUGGGCGAAAGCCUGACGCAGCCACGCCGCGUGAGCGAUGAAGGCCUUCGGGUCGUAAAGCUCUGUGGGGAGAGACGAAGAAAGCCUGUGAAGAGCAGGCCUUGACGGUAUCUCCUUAGCAAGCACCGGCUAACUCCGUGCCAGCAGCCGCGGUAAUACGGAGGGUGCGAACGUUGCUCGGAAUCAUUGGGCGUAAAGCGCACGUAGGCGGCGGCGUAAGCGGGAUGUGAAAGCCCAGGGCUCAACCCUGGAAGUGCAUCCCGAACUGUGUCGCUUGAAUCUCGGAGGGGGACAGAGAAUUCCCGGUGUAGAGGUGAAAUUCGUAGAUAUCGGGAGGAAUACCAGUGGCGAAGGCGCUGUCCUGGACGAAGAUUGACGCUGAGGUGCGAAAGCGUGGGGAGCAAACA